rnacentral:pre_miRNA from 1 species
UUGACAGAUUAUUGUAUUCGACUGUAUUAACGGCGUGAAAUAGGGGAUUACACUGUUUUUAAAACGAAAAGUGAAUCAAUUAACAUAAUAGACUCCU